GAACUGGAUGUCCGGUCAGUACAACGUGUGUCUUUUUACGUAACUCAUACAUAUGUGACUGUUCAGCUGGAUUCUCUCGGUCAUCCACAGGAGAAUGCUCGGAUAAUGAUGAAUGCCUCCGAGAACCUAAUAUAUGUGGCAACAAUUCGGUUUGCUCAAACACAGACGGCAGCUAUACAUGUCAGUGUGUUGAAGGAUACGAGCAGAGGAACGGGGAGAAUUUGGGCUGUCAAGAUAAUGAUGAAUGCCUCCGAGAACCUAAUAUAUGUGGCAACAAUUCGGUUUGCUCAAACACAGACGGCAACUAUACAUGUCAGUAUGUUAAAGGAUACGAGCAGAGGAACGGGGGGGAUUUUGGCU